UGGUUUUUCACAAACCUUUGCCUGCCUUUC
rnacentral:piRNA from 1 species